rnacentral:rRNA from 1 species
CUACUCUUGACAUCCACGGAAUUUGGCAGAGAUGCUUAAGUGCCUUCGGGAGCCGUGAGACAGGUGCUGCAUGGCUGUCGUCAGCUCGUGUUGUGAAAUGUUGGGUUAAGUCCCGCAACGAGCGCAACCCUUGUCCUUUGUUGCCAGCGCGUAAUGGUGGGAACUCAAAGGAGACUGCCGGUGAUAAACCAGAGGAAGGUGAGGAUGACGUCAAGUCAUCAUGGCCCUUACGAGUAGGGCUACACACGUGCUACAAUGGCGCAUACAAAAAGCGGCGAGCGUGCGAACGUAAGCGAACCUCAUAAAGUGCGUCGUAGUCCGGAUUGGAGUCUGCAACUCGACUCCAUGAAGUCGGAAUCGCUAGUAAUCGUGGAUCAGAAUGCCACGGUGAAUACGUUCCC